rnacentral:rRNA from 1 species
AUUGAACGCUGGCGGCAUGCCUUACACAUGCAAGUCGAACGGCAGCACGGGAGCAAUCCUGGUGGCGAGUGGCGAACGGGUGAGUAAUAUAUCGGAACGUGCCCAGUCGUGGGGGAUAACGUAGCGAAAGCUACGCUAAUACCGCAUACGAUCUAUGGAUGAAAGCGGGGGAUCGCAAGACCUCGCGCGAUUGGAGCGGCCGAUAUCAGAUUAGGUAGUUGGUGAGGUAAAGGCUCGCCAAGCCGACGAUCUGUAGCUGGUCUGAGAGGACGACCAGCCACACUGGGACUGAGACACGGCCCAGACUCCUACGGAGGCAGCAGUGGGGAAUUUUGGACAAUGGGCGCAAGCCUGAUCCAGCAAUGCCGCGUGCAGGAUGAAGGCU